CCUGCCCAGAGAAGCAUUGCAGGUAUGGCUGCUAUGUCACAUGUACACCAAUAGAUAGCAGAGAGAAAAGAGGCUGUGUCUAUCCUCAAUAUUCUGACCUAUGAAUGUCUGAAUGAUUAAUAGCCUAACAUU